GGAGACUGGGGUUCAGAUAUUGUCUGUGGUCUUGGCAACUGUGUCCCUCUCCAGUACUUUAGAAAGAGUAAGUAGUAACAGCUGACUCCAUACAUCCUCUAGGUACACACUUCCCACCAGACACUAUGCAGCAAUGGUGACUUGACCAGUGCCAGCACCAAAACUUCACAGGUAGAGAAGAGAAAGAGCCACCGAUCAGGGCUGUGGAGUGAGUGGCUGGGUAACUGGGAAGAGGUAGCUGAGAAGAAAUAAAAAUAGGAAAUGCCAAGGAAAAGAAGAAUGCUCAAAAA